GAUGAACGCUGGCGGCGUGCCUAAUACAUGCAAGUCGAGCGAACGGACGAGAAGCUUGCUUCUCUGAUGUUAGCGGCGGACGGGUGAGUAACACGUGGAUAACCUACCUAUAAGACUGGGAUAACUUCGGGAAACCGGAGCUAAUACCGGAUGAUAUUUUGAACCGCAUGGUUCAAAAGUGAAAGACGGUCUUGCUGUCACUUAUAGAUGGAUCCGCGCUGCAUUAGCUAGUUGGUAAGGUAACGGCUUACCAAGGCAACGAUGCAUAGCCGACCUGAUAGGGUGAUCGGCCACACUGGAACUGGAACACGGUCCAGACUCCUACGGGAGGCAGCAGUAGGGAAUCUUCCGCAAUGGGCGAAAGCCUGACGGAGCAACGCCGCGUGAGUGAUGAAGGUCUUCGGAUCGUAAAACUCUGUUAUUAGGGAAGAACAUAUGUGUAAGUAACUGUGCACAUCUUGACGGUACCUAAUCAGAAAGCCACGGCUAACUACGUG
rnacentral:rRNA from 1 species